GCGGGCAUAGCACAGUGGUAGUGCGCUAGCCUUCCAAGCUAGUCACGCGGGUUCGAUUCCCGCUGCCCGCU
rnacentral:tRNA from 1 species